UUUAUUUUUGCUUUUCAUUUCUUCUCUUUUUUUCUUUUUCUUUUUUUAAAAUAGUCUUAUCAAAAAUUAGAAUG
rnacentral:ribozyme from 14 species